AGGGCGCAUGGCGGAUGCCUUGGCUCACAGAGGCGAUGAAGGACGUGAUAAGCUGCGAUAAGCUGCGUGUAGGUGCAAAUACCCAUUGAUGCGCGGAUUUCCGAAUGGGACAACCCACCUGUCUGAAGGGCAGGUAUCACUGCACUGGCAGUGAGGCGAACCGGGGGAACUGAAACAUCUUAGUACCCCGAGGAGAAGAAAAUAAAAGAAUGAUUCCCUUAGUAGUGGCGAGCGAACGGGGAGGAGCCCAAACCGUUGUUGUGGCAACGCAACUGCGGUGUUGUAGGACCGCGUUAUUGUACUUUUGAUGGUGAGAAGAAUCCUUUGGAAAGAGGAAUCACAGAGGGUGAUAAUCCCGUAUUCGAAGCCAGAGAAGACAUAGCGGUAUCCUGAGUAACGCGGAACACGUGAAAUUCUGCGCGAAUCCGCCGGGACCAUCCGGUAAGGCUAAAUACUCCUGUGAGACCGAUAGCGAACCAGUACCGUGAGGGAAAGGUGAAAAGCACUUCGAUUUGAGAAGAGUGAAAUAGUACCUGAAACCAUGCGCCUACAAGCGGUCGGAGCAUAUUUUAUAUGUGACGGCGUGCCUUUUGCAUAAUGAACCUACGAGUUACCGUUACCAGCGAGGUUAAGCGACAUGAGUCGCGUAUCCGUAGUGAAGGCGAGCCUGAAUAGGGCGUUUUAGUUGGUAGUGGUAGACGCGAAACCAAGUGAUCUACACAUGUCCAGGAUGAAGUCCCGGUAACACGGGAUGGAGGUCCGAACGGAUAAGCGUUGAAAAGCUUCCCGAUGAGAUGUGUGUAGGAGUGAAAGGCCAAUCAAACUUGGAGAUAGCUCGUACUCCCCGAAAGGCAUUUAGGUGCCGCGUACAGUGUUUACCUCAAGAGGUAGAGCGACCGAUAGGACGCGAGGGCUUCACCGCCUAUCAAGUCCUGACGAACUCCGAAUGCUUGUGGUCAGAAGCUGUGCAGUAAGGGGGCGGGUGCUAAGGUCCGUCCCCGAGAGGAGAAGAAUCCGGACCGCCGUCUAAGGUCCCGGAGUUCUGCCUGAGUUAGUCUAACGAAGUCCGGUCCCCGCGACAGCCAGGAUGUUGGCUUGGAAGCAGCCAUUCAUUUAAAGAGUGCGUAACAGCUCACUGGUCGAGGGUCUGGGCAUGGAUAAUAAUCGGGUAUAAGGCAGACACCGAAGACGCGGGAUAGUAAUGUAUAUUAAAAGUAUCGGUAGGGGAGCAUUCCAUCGGCGUUGAAUGCGGUGAGACGAUCACCGCUGGAGCAGAUGGAAAAGCAAAUGUAGGUAUAAGUAACGAUAAGGAGGGUAAGAUUCCCUCCCGCCGUAAGACUAAGGUUUCCCGGGCAAUGUCAAUCAUCCCGGGGUCAGUCGGGUCCUAAGGCUCAGCCGAAUGGCGAGGCCGAUGGCAGAAAGGGUUAAUAUUCCCUUACUGCCGUAUGGAGCGAUGUGGAGACGGAGGCGUGACACCACCGCGGAGCGACGGAAUGCUCCGUUAAAGAAUGUAGACGUAGAGAAGGGCAGGCAAAUCCACCCUUUGAGUUGAACUUCGAGAGUAUGUGCUCUUCCUCGGAAGAGCGCAAUAGCGUGGGUAAUCAAACUCCCGAGAAAAUCCGCUAAGCUUCAUCCAUGCGGCACCCGUACCGUAAACGGACACACGUAGUCGGGUAGAACAUACUAAGGCGUUGAGAGAUUCAUGGUUAAGGAACUAGGCAAAUUGACCCCGUAACUUCGGGAUAAGGGGUCCUCGUCGCAAGGCGAGGCGCAGAGAAUAGGUCCAGGCAACUGUUUAACAAAAACACAGGGCUGUGCAAACUCGAAAGAUGAUGUAUACAGCCUGACACCUGCCCGGUGCCGGAAGGUUAAGAGGAGAGCUCAGAGCGUAAGUUCGAAGGUUUGAAUUGAAGCCCCGGUAAACGGCGGCCGUAACUAUAACGGUCCUAAGGUAGCGAAAUUCCUUGUCGGGUAAGUUCCGACCUGCACGAAUGGUGUAAUGAUCCGGACGCUGUCUCAACCAUGAUCUCAGUGAAAUUGUAGUAUCGGUGAAGAUGCCGAUUACCCGCGAUGGGACGAAAAGACCCCGUGAACCUUUACUGCAGCUUAGCAUUGACCUUGGUCAUCCGAUGUGUAGGAUAGGCCGGAGGCUUAGAAGCGCGGGCGCCAGCCGUGUGGAGCCAUCCUUGAAAUACGGCCCUUUGGCUGUCUGAGGUCUAACCCGCAAUGUGCGGGGACACUGCUUGGUGGGCAGUUUGACUGGGGUGGUCGCCUCCAAAAGCGUAACGGAGGCUUCCAAAGGUGCCCUCAGGCCGAUUGGUAACCGGCCCAUUAGAGUGCAAUGGCAUAAGGCGCUUGACUGGGAGGCAGACAUGCCGAUCAGACAGGAAACUGGGGCAUAGUGAUCCGGUGCAAGUGUAUGGAAACUGCAUCGCUCAAAGGAUAAAAGGUACUCCGGGGAUAACAGGCUGAUCCCCCCCAAGAGCUCAUAUCGACGGUGGUUUGGCACCUCGAUGUCGGCUCGUCACAUCCUGGGGCUGGAGAAGGUCCCAAGGGUUGGGCUGUUCGCCCAUUAAAGUGGCACGCGAGCUGGGUUCAGAACGUCGUGAGACAGUUCGGUCUCUAUCUAUCGUGGGCGCAGGAGUUUUGCGUGGCCCUGUCACUAGUACGAGAGGACCGUGAUGGACAGACCUCCGGUUGACCGGUUGUGCCGCCAGGUGCACCGCCGGGUAGCUGAGUCUGGAGUGGAUAAGCGCUGAAAGCAUCUAAGUGCGAAGCCCACCGCAAGAUGAGAACUCCUCAUGAGGGUCGUCCGAGACGAGGACGUUGAUAGGGUGCAGGUGUAAAGACGGCGACGUCAAAGCCAAGCACUACUAAUUGCCCGAAACUUUCCAAA
rnacentral:rRNA from 1 species